UGUUGCCGCUUCACAUGGUCUUUCCUCUGUGCGUGCGCAGCUCUGGUGUCCCUCUCCAUGUCCUAAUCUCUUCUCAAAAGGACACCAGUCAUACCUCACUUUACCUUCGUCACCUCACCUUAUCUCCAAGUACAGUCACAUUCUCAGGUCCUGGGAAUGAGGAUUUCAGCAUGUAAAUUUUGCGGAGACACACGUCAGCUCCUAACAAAAUGUUCAGUUGUCUAGCUCACAGGGAUAUCCACAAGCCAGACCCAGAAAGCCUUUGCUACCAUUGAUGAAGAUGCCAAGUCCACAGCCCAACAGCCAGAAGACCCUUGGUCUAGCCCUUGGAUUCAGACUGAAUUGAUAUCGCCAGGUUUCCUGUCUUUUCAGCUUGCAGGCAGCUGAUUGUGGGACUUCUCAGCCUCCUUAAUCAUAUUUUCUUAUCAUUGGCCUUCAACAUUUUUAUCAGGAUAUAUCUGUGUAUAUUGCAGAUUUUACAAAUUGAAGGUUUGUGACAACUCCCUCAAGGAAGUCUGUUGGUGUUAUUUUUCCAACAGCAGGUACUCACUUCAUGUCUCUGUGUCACAUUUUGGCCUUUAAACCAAGAGAAGACAUACCUGAGCAAUUGAACCAGAAGGGAUGAGCCCCACCUGGAUCUGAUGCAGAUUAAAAUAUCUUGGACCUUGGGCCUGAGCUUGGAAUGGAAUGAGACCUUUGAGGAUCUUAGUGGGGAAUCCCCUUGUCAUAAAACCAAUGCAUAAGAUACAACUGCAUCCAAUGUAUUCCAGGGAAAGAUUCUCUGCAGAUGACUCAAGGAAAGCCACAGGAGCAACAGGGAAACUGAAAGAACAAAUAUCACAGUUGAUUCAGAAGGGCAGCCCCACAUUUUUAAGUGAUACCCAACCAUUGUGAACAAGCUCUGUCAACACCAUCUGCUCCACAAAGGAAAGUUGCUGAUUAUUGCAUCUCUAAGUGGAGUCGGUUCUCUCCCACGAUAGCAGAAGGCUUUCACAUUCACUAUACUGUUAUGGACAUGGAGGAUGGGAACCAUUGCUUUGUUUACUCUGCAACUUCUUAAUUAUAUCACAAAAGACUCGACACAUAAGCAGUAUCCAGAAAAGCAAGUCGACUACAUAAAAAUCAAUGCAUGAUUGUCUAUAGCCUUUGACAUACUAGGACCAGUCAAGAUAUGUGUGGAGGGUAAUGAAGAAUGGGCAAAUACCAGAGAAAAGACAGCUGAGUGUCCAUGAUAAAG
rnacentral:lncRNA from 1 species